CACUUUUCACAAAAUCUUCUCUCUUCUUCUUAAUUUAUUUACUCCUUUGAUUUUCUUUCCCAAUUAGCCGAAUCUUAAUCUCUUCUCUUUUGAUAACCUCUUCUAUUUUUGUAACCCUUUCUUCUUCGAUUUUCUUUUUGAAACCAAAAUAAGCAUACCUCAGAAUGAGUUUUAGAAGCCGAAACUAGAUCCUUUGUUGUUAAUUUUCUCUUGGUUCAAACUCCUUCUUCCUUCCAUUAUUUUUAAGACUAUAGCCGAUUGCCUCAAAUCCCGAAAUCUCGAAAACUUGAUUCCUCUUGUACCGAUUUCCUUAGCCAAUUCUCUUAUUUUUCUCAUCAUCUUUGGCCGAUUCUCUCAUCCUCUAAACCCCAAGUUUCUGUCGACAGUACUACAGUAAAACCCUCAUAUUUUAUCUUUCUCUACACUAUUGCAAAAAAAAGCCGAAAAUCCCACACUAUCCUAGGGACAUAGCCG
rnacentral:lncRNA from 1 species